AAUAUGAGGUCAGAUGUCAGAUUAACGGAAGACUUAAAGGGUUUUCUCAGCUAUAAUAUGGACAUGUAUUCCUCUGGAGACUUGCUUUGUUCAAGUACUUUUAUGAUUUCUUCUUACCACUUCCAUGCUGGAGAAAAGAGAUGCUUUGUAUGGCCAAAAAAUAGGGUUUAGUUUAGUUCAGUGGAUCAGAAAUAUGUAUUUCAAUGGGCUAAAAUGUUGUGAAGAUGCAAACUGUUAUCUAAAUGCUACAUAUUUUUACUGUUUUGACACAGUGAAAUUAAGAGCAUUUCAGUUGGCAAAUCUAUUCUACCCUUUAGGUGACACAAUGGAUUCAGAUCUAAAUGAUGGAUAUAUGUAAAUCCAGACAUGCUUGGAGACAUACAUGUUACAAGACAAACAUUAGCACUUAAAACCAUUGCAUAGAUUUAGGGUAAUCCCUGGAGGGUUUUAAUUCCUAGGAUCGCCAUAUCCUAAACUAGCAGUAGUUCGAGGUGACAAGUCACAGCCAGAGAGCAGGUGUGUAAGACAGGCCUGUCACUUUUCAGACAUUUAUGGAACUUGCCAGUAUACUGAAGUCCAUCUGCUUUCUUUUCAAACUUUCUACUGAUCUGCUACAGCUGAUUAUCAGUGCCAUUUAGACUAGACCUGAAAGGGAGGGAGAAUUUUAAAAGGUAUGAGUUAAUUUCCUUUUAAUUUUGCUUCCCUUUAACUGGGAACUUUACUCUUUUUUUAAAACCAUGGAGAACUUGAUGGAAUUAUAUCCUCUUUUGUCUUUGUGUGAUCUCCUGUAUAGCAUUUCUGGAAGACCUGGUCUGAGAUAAUCUAUUGCUGAACAGUCUUUGAAAUGUGUCUUAUACCUAGUCUUCCCCUCUAAGACCUAAAAUGUACCAUAGAUACUGUUAAUCCCUUUAUAUAUUACAGAUACAAUCAAAAUAACAGAAUUACUAAGGAGGCUAUUCUGUUUCUGGAACAAGGCAAUUUCAACUACCAUCACGCUCUUCAAUUACCCCCUGAAUGAGAGUAGCUAUUAUUUGACACUGACCACUUAUUUGAAAAGUUGAAAACUGGAAACAGGCAGAUCUGCACCGGGAGACCCACAUUACAGACAGGAGAGGAUUUAGAUUGAUUGCCAAUGUGCCGACAACUGUGGAUCUCUGACAAUAGGAUUUAGCUUGAGGUGCAGAUAUACAUAUGACAUUCUUUGUCAUAUACUUCCAUUCUUGCUAUGUCCCUCUACUGCAGAGGGUGGUACUCCAGUUCUUAAUUAACUUAAUUGGUCCACAGUGAACUUAAACUGUUCAAGAGGUAAAGAUGGAUGUCAUUUUUCAUUAAGAAGACAAGCUUGAUAUUUUUCUUAAGACAUACUAUAGCAAUCUUCAUUGAUUCUCACAGUUUAAGAUGUAAUAAAAGAGCAGCAGAUUAAAAGGUUAACUACUUAAAAGGACACAACUGUUUGAUGCUGUAUUAAGAGAUAGGUAAACAGUAACAAUUACAAAUUAAUUCCACUCUGCGACUUGUAUUAAUAAUGCUAGAAUUAAAAAUUAAAAAAAGCCCUUUAAGUUAUGUUUACUCAUUUUUCAAAACAUUCACAGUCUUAAAACAUCAGUGGUAUAAAUAUUACAUGAAGACAAAAGAGCAUCAGUUUAACUCCAUGAAGUCCUGGAGGCAGACUUUCAUAACAAUAAUGAUCAGGCUAUCACAUCUUGGACGUUCUACAGAGUAUGUUUUUACACUAGGUAUAUCUACCUAUGUAAAAACCCAGGCAAAUAUAGCUGUCAACAUAGCUAUAGAUACACAUACACAAAACCCCUAUAGACAAGUUUACUACAAUGUUUUACUGGAUCCCAGAUUUGAAAUCCGAGAUCAACUUUUUAAGCUAGUGUUUGUAGAAACAUUAUUUUAUUUUCUUGUGGUGGCAUAUCACAUUUGUCUCAUUACAUUAAUGACUCAAAGAACAAGUUGUUAUCCAGGCAACUAAUUUAUAAUCAAUACUUUCAGACAUAAUUUCUUUGAAGCUGUAUCUGUACAGUCAACUGAUAUCUUGUAAAAGGCAUAUAUUUGUUCUAUAGAUAAAUGUGAGGUCAGAUACAAAACCACUCACAUUUUGGAUAGAAUAGUUCAGACCCCUGAGAUGGGAAGUAGUUUAUACUUCAGCACAUCUUUAAUUUACUGUAUUUAAACUACUACAAAAAUAAACUAAGCUUAUGUUCUUGCUUUGAAAAGUUAUGGGCAUUUUCAUGUCUUUCAACAUAGUAAUGUCUUCAGUUGAUUACAAGUAAGAUUGGAAAACAAAUCCUUUAAUGACAUAUCUGCUACAAAAUAUUGAAUACAAUCACACAUUGCUCAGCAAGGCUGCUGAUGAAGUGAAACAAAUGCAACACAUCAAAUGUUUCCAUGAAAAACAUAAUUAAAGGUUUUCUGGUAUGCACCUUAAUGGGAUACAAAGAAUAAAUCACAUUAAAAUACUGUUAAGACACUAACAACCCAAUUUCACGUGGAACUCCAACUCCUGAAAGGUUUGACGGGCAUUUACAAUUUACUGUUCUCAUUUACAGAAAUGAUUUGCAGAUCUAAAUGAAUAUUUUCUCUUUCCUUUUUUUCUUUGGGUCAAACUAGCCACCUGUUUAUUAAAACAAUUCACUGCAAAACCAAAGAGGUCAUUUCAGGAUAAAACCUCCAUCAUUGCUAAGAGUAACCCAAACAGGGUGCCGAGUUGGACUGUUCAGGGUAUGAAGUGACAUCAGGUCCGAGGCGACCUGCAGGCCAAGAGACCGGAGUGGGAUUACACGUACUGCUUCCACUGGCAGUAGGCCCUGAACGCAAAGAGAGGCAGGAUCAGGAGCAGCCUCAAACAGGACAGAAUCAUCCCAUCACCACAGGGAGGCCAACGACCCCACAGAUCUGGGCCCUCUCUGACCUCCCCAUCUCCACAACCAUUGAAUUGGGAGGUGACAUCCUCCUACUAAGAAAGUGUGACUUCCAGUGGGACCAAAAUAAUCCACAGAAUGAGACAACAGCUGCCUCAACAAGCUACCGUCUUGAAGAGUGAGACAAGGGAAAGCAGUGGUGCGCAACAGAAUGAGAGCUACACAGGAGAGUGUGUAUCUGAAGUAGCACAUCUACACGAUACAGGAUAUCAGCUACAAGCAUUCACCUUUCUGUGGAGCUCAGAUGACCUGAACAGUACAGGAAGCCUACAGGGCAAGCAGAGGAGAUUAGUAGACCUAUGGAAACAGAAAUUAAUGACUUCAAUGUCCAGUAGAGUUGAUCAAAAAUGGAAUUUCCAUCCUGCAGGAAGUUCUGAUAUUUCAACUUUGUUUUUUGGCAUGAUUUGGGAUAAAAAGUCAAAAUAUCAAAACUUCACAAGAAAUGAAAAAUUUCAAAUUGGGAAUGUCAAAAAGUUUGGCUUUAGAAAUAAAAUGUUUCAUCUACAGAUUGUUUGACAUUAAUUUGUGUCCAGUGACCUCCCACGGUGCCUCAUGGGAGUUGUAGUUUAGGUGCCUCAUGCAUCCAUUCUCCCAUAUUGGUCAGGCUCUCCAGCAGGAUAUUAUCUCCCAGGAUGCCCUAAAGCAGCUCAACUAGAGGGGUGAUCACAGAUUUGUGUCAGAUUGACCCCAUAUAAAAGAUUUAGAUGGGGGGCAAAGUGAACUUAGACAUUUUUUUUUCUCCUGCUGAUAAUAGCUCACCUUAACUGAUCGCUCGCAUUAUAGUGGGUAUGGCAACACACAUUUUUUCAUGUUUUCUGUGUAUCUCUAUCUCUUCCUACUGUAUUUUCCACUGCAUGCAUCUGAUGAAGUGGGUUUUAGCCCACGAAAGCUUAUGCUCAAAUAAAUAUAUUAGUCUCUAAGGUG